rnacentral:lncRNA from 1 species
AUGGUCAACAUGUAUCUUUCUGUCACUACAUUUUGCUCUAAUCGUUGCCUGAUCCUCCCUAUGGCAGUUGGAAUUGCCAUCGGGGUGACCAUACUGGUUGUGGCCCUGUUGGUUGCUCUGGUCUUUGCUGCCAGGCGGAAGUCAAACCUUGUGGAGAGACUGCGGAGCAACUUACCCAGCAUGCCCAGUAUGCCACAAAUGCCUAAGUUCUCUGGCCUCAGGAAUGGAGUCCCUGGAAAUGGUUUGCAAACAGAAGACAGUGAAACACUGGAGAACUCUGAGGCGGUUCCCUGUACGUCAGUGUGGACUGUUGACCCCGUGACAAAAAGCUUUGAGAACCCUGCAUAUGAGGCAGAAGAACCCCCGGCCUCCAACAGCAUCCCGGGAAGCAAGUCGGCUCCUCCAGACACAAACGAGGACAACAUUAACAAUCCUCUAUAUGUGGAGGAGGCUCCACCUGUGGAUGAUCCGACCCUAAAUGCAGCAAAAUCCAGCCAGGUUGGUUUCUGCAAGUUUGACAAAACACGUUGA